GGCUAACUCCGUGCCAGCAGCCGCGGUAAUACGGAGGAUCCAAGCGUUAUCCGGAUUUAUUGGGUUUAAAGGGUGCGUAGGUGGCCUGUUAAGUCAGGGGUGAAAGACGGUAGCUUAACUAUCGCAGUGCCCUUGAUACUGAUGGGCUUGAAUGAACUAGAGGUAAGCGGAAUGUGACAAGNCNCGGUGAAAUGCAUAGAUAUGUCACAGAACACCAAUUGCGAAGGCAGCUUACUAUGGUUUUAUUGACACUGAGGCACGAAAGCGUGGGGAUCAAACAGGAUUAGAUACCCUGGUAGUCCACGCCCUAAACGAUGAAUACUCGAUGUUGGCGAUAUACGGUCAGCGUCUAAGCGAAAGCGUUAAGUAUUCCACCUGGGGAGUCGCCCGCAAGGGUGAAACUCAAAGGAAUUGACGGGGGCCCGCACAAGCGGAGGAGCAUGUGGUUUAAUUCGAUGAUACGCGAGGAACCUUACCCGGGCUUGAAAGUUAGUGAAUGAUCCAGAGACGGAUCAGUCCUUCGGGACACGAAACUAGGUGCUGCA
rnacentral:rRNA from 1 species